GGAUGUGAGGGCGAUCUGGCUGCGACAUCUGUCACCCCAUUGAUCGCCAGGGUUGAUUCGGCUGAUUUGGCUGGCUAGGCAGGUGUCCCCCUCCUCCCUCACCGAUCCCUGUGCGCCCCUCCCGAAGCUGCGCGCUCGGUCGAAGAGGACGACCUUUCCCCCUCCCCAUCCCCCCAGAGGACCGGUCUUCGGUCAAGGGUAUACGAGUAGCUGCGCUCCCCUGCUAGAACCUCCAAACAAGCUCUCAAGGAAAGAAGCACUAUUAAAGAUAAAGGAGACUCUGACAUGUCUAAUCCCACACCUAGACUGCGUAACUAGGACAUUUCU
rnacentral:snRNA from 1 species